rnacentral:hammerhead_ribozyme from 1 species
UCAUUGCUGAUGAGUCCCACAAUAGGACGAAACGGUCGUUCAGUAC